rnacentral:rRNA from 1 species
UACAGAGGGUGCAAGCGUUGUUCGGAAUCAUUGGGCGUAAAGCGCGUGUAGGCGGCCUUUUAAGUCUGGUGUGAAAUCCCGGGGCUCAACCCCGGAAGUGCACUGGAUACUGGAUGGCUAGAGGAUGAGAGAGGAGAGUGGAAUUCAUGGUGUAGGGGUGAAAUCCGUAGAUAUCAUGAGGAACAUCUGAGGCGAAGGCGACUCUCUGGCUCAUUUCUGACGCUGAGACGCGAAAGCGUGGGGAGCAAACAGG